rnacentral:rRNA from 1 species
AUGUGGGAGUCGGUGGCGCUCACGCUGGCCGGCGCCGCCGGCAACAGCAUCGGCAAGGUCCUCCAGAAGAAGGGCACCCACAUCCUCCCGCCCCUCUCCUUCAAGCUCAAGGUCAUACGGGGCUACGCGCUCAACAGGCUCUGGAUCAGCGGCUUCCUCCUGGACAUGUGCGGCGCCGCCCUCAUGCUCACUGCGCUCUCGCAGGCGCCGGUCUCUGUCGUGCAGCCGAUUGCCGGCUGCGGCCUCGCCAUACUCUGCGUCUUCUCCCAUUUUUACCUCAAGGAGGUCAUGAAUGGCCUUGAUUGGCUUGCCAUCACAAUGGCCGGUCUCGGCACCAUAGGAGUCGGUGUAGGAGGGGAGGAGCAGAAAGUGGAAGAGAUUCCCCUUUUCAGUAUACCUUGGCUGGUGCUCACCGUUCUCAUCUUGUUUGUUCUGCUCAACACUUGGCUUCAUAUCUACAAAAAGCAAAGGCGCGAACAAGAGUUGACUGGACCUGAAGUGAUCGAGGAGGUCAUAUACGGCUUAGAAUCAGGCAUUUUGUUUGGGAUUUCAUCAGUGAUCUCUAAGAUGGGAUUUGUGAUGUCUGAAAUGGGCUUUCCGAAGAUUGUUGUGCCAGCUGCCAUUUCUUGUAGUGUGGCCUGCAGUGCUGUGGGAUUUGUUUACCAGACUCGAGGUCUCAAGCAUGGGAGGGCAAUUGUUGUGUCCACGUGUACAUCGGUGGCAUCUAUUGUGUCUGGUGUUGUGGCUGGUAUGGUUGCACUUGACGAACAUCUGCCGACAGCUCCUGCAGGACGUUUUUUUCUCCUGCUUGGAUGGUUCUUCAUUAUUACGGGGGUGAUACUUCUUGUUACUUCAACCCGAUUGAUUGCGCGCCUACCUAAGCCUGUGCAGAAGUUUUUGAAGAGUAAUAUGGAGCGUUCACACAGCAUCAGGAGGCCUGGACCAGCCCGAGGGAAGGAUCCCAACCAAAGCACAACAAUCCAUGCAUCGACAUUACAUAUACUAACCUCUACAGGAAAAGAGAAGGCCUAG